CCUGGGUCGUUCUUUUCCUAUUCUCUCUGUUCGCUCGCACGAGACACAGCCGCCGCGGGUGUUGCUCCUCUCCCCCGCCGCCUCUGCCCCUGCCGCCCCAUCUUCUCCCGUCCUCUACCCUCCAUUGCUGCACCCAGGUGCUGAGAGAGAUUGAUAUGGGGAUUUGAGUGGGAGGGGCUGGAUUGACGAAGGGGUGUGAUGGAUCUAGAAAGGGUUGAUGCAAUGUCUGUGCUUGACUCUAAUCAAUCCAGUGUUAGUACCAUUGUUGAUUGGUCAAGUCUUGUGAUCGAACCUGAAAAUGAUGGGGAUGAUAAGGGUAUCCCGGAUGAAAAACCGGUGGAUGAGAAUGCGAUGUUCACUCUGUUGGGUUUAAAAACGGAUGUGGAUGAAAGGGGAACUAAGCCUGGUCCGAUUGUCGUUCCUACUCCUGCUUAUGAUGAGCAUGAGACGAAAGAGGUAGCUAUUGAUGUACAUGAUAAAGCUCCAGAGGAGCCACUUAUUUCAUGGGAUGAACGAUACCCAACAAUGGAGAUCGGGACUCCUUAUCCUCAUAUGGAUGCAUUCAGAAAGGCUAUAAAACAAUUCGCUAUCAAUGGCGAGUUUGAAUAUGGCACUAAGAAAAAUGAGCCAAAAAGGUUUCGGGCUUUUUGUAAAGGUGAAUCUAUAAAGGGCGAACCUUGCAAUUGGUCCUUAACUGCAACUUGGAAGAGAGAUGGAAAUUGUGUGAUGGUUGUGAGGCAUCAAACUGAGCACAUUUGUAGCUCAACUAGUGGGAAAAAAACUAGCAUGACAUGUCAAUCUUGGGUGGCCGACAAGGCAGCAGCUAUGUUGAAGAAAGAUCCAACCAUUGGCGCUGUGAAGAUACUUAAAGAUUUGCAAGAUUAGCAUCAUGUUACACUUGAUUACCAAACGGUGUGGAGGGAAACAAAAGGCAGCAACAAGCUUAUAUGGAAGUUGGGAAGAAAGCUUCAGAAUGUUGUUCAACUACAAGGCCGAGAUAGAAUUGAGAUCUCCAGGGAGUAUUGUGGAGAUUGAUACAACCACAACCGAAGGUGAAGUACAUUUCAGCAAACUUUUUAUUGCUUUCAAGCCUUGCAUAGAUGGGUUCCUUAAUGGUUGUAGGCCGUAUAUUAGCAUUGACUCAACUCACUUAAAUGGCAAAUGGAAUGGUCAGCUAGCUGUAGUCACUGCUUUAGAUGGUCACAAUUGGAUGUUUCCGGUAGCAUUUGGCUUUAUUGAGUCUGAAAAUGGAGAUAAUUGGUCUUGGUUCAUGAAUCAAGUGAAGAAGGCAAUUGGGGAUCCUCCUCUAUUGGCUGUUUGUACUGAUGCUUGUAAAGGCCUUGAAAAUGCUGUUAAAACGGUCUUUCCUCAAGCUGAGCAGCGUGAGUGCUUUAGGCAUAUGUGGCACAAUUUUCAGAAAUAUUUUCAUGGUGAUGUGUUUGGCCGGUUGUGGCCUGCUGCUAGGGCAUAUAGGCUGGAAGAAUAUGAACAUCACAUGCAGAAGGUGUUUGAUGCAUCUGAGAAAGUGUAUCCUUACCUUAGUUUCCUUAGUUUCCUAUGCAUGUGAGGUGCAAAGACACUUCCUUUUGAUGUGUACGUGAGGGUAAACUCACUAGAAUUUGGUGUCAGUUGAACUUAUGCUCUAUGUUGUCAUGUUGAACUUAUUUGCUGUCAUAUUAUCAUGAAACUAUGUUACUUGAUGUCUAUUUGUGUGGAUGACAAGUAUGCAGCGGAAUUAUACAACUUUUUUGGUUUGAAAUAUGGCACAGCUGUAGCGGAAUUAUACUGUUUUUCUGGUUUGAAACAUGGCACAGCUGUAGCAGUUUUGAAAUUUCUGUGUAUCCCUGUGUCUUUUAAACUGAUGGGUAUUUUGGUCCAUUCUUAUUUAUAUUUGACUAUCAUAUGCUGUCAACUUUGUUAACCAUGUCAAAGGGGGACAUUAGAUAGAACAGAUGCUGAUACGGAGGGUUAAAACAGAGGCAGCCAAAAAAAGGGGCUCAGCAGAGAAGUCAUGCCAACAGGGGGGGUUAUUAUCGAUUCUCCCCUCUUCCGCACAACGAUUCUAUUGUGUCCGCACUGCAAUUAUGUCUCUCCAGUCUCCAUUUUGUGCAGGGAGUGUUCAUGCUGGUUCCGGUCAACUUUGUCAGCCAAGGCUGGGCUUCCGCCCAACGAUUCUAUGGUGUUCAGUGUAAUUUAUCAUGUCUCUCCGGUAUCCAUUUUGCGCUGGGACUGUUUAUGGCUCCAUGCUGUUUCCAGUCAACUCGUUCACUCUUGGAGGCUGGGCUGAUGUAUUGAAUUGGGGAUUUCUAAUUUCUUGCGUGACAAUUCCUUAUGGUUGCCGGCCAGGCCAGAUACAACCUUCAAGCUUAUUACAUGACCUCCAUCUGCAUCAUUUACAGAUUGUUUGCUUUGGUAAGGUCUUUGUAUUACUUACGGCUAAAUAUCUCUUGGUUUUGUUUUCUACUAUAUAUAGUGCUAUCAUCACCAGUUCAAUGUCUUGUGAACCAAAGCCAAUAGCAGUUAAAGGUUCAUCUGGCAGCCAUCGUUCUUGCCUAGUGCUAGGAACGGUUGAACUCCCUGCUGGGGGUUGAUGGCGCGUCAACCAUUGUGCAACACAGAGUUCAAGUGAGGAGGGGGAGGAGCUACGGCUACGGCCUGAUGUACAAGCACAAGAACCGGCAUAGAUCGGUGUUCAUUCUCCAGACUGGGUCAGCUGAAUGUGUCGAAGAGAACAUUCCAGGUCUGCAUUCAUCAAUCUAAGUACUUCAGCUUUUUAGUUGUGUACUAAUUUUUCUAUGCAUGGCAUACUCCCCGUUGGACAAGCUCUUCCUAGAUGUCAAAAGAUAGGUUGAAAGAAACUGUUUUAUUAUUGCAAUCCACUCGGUUAAUUUUCAGCUGACCAUGCCAAAUUUAGAAAAUUCCCUUGUAGUGAGUUAAUGUCUCUUAGAUACAUCCCUCCUCUAUAAAAUUAAGCUACCGGUUGUUUCCUGCUUUCAGUUGAAACUACUCGCAUUUACUACCAAGUAACAAUACAAUAUCAUUAUCAUGCAGUAUGGGAAAAAAUGGAAUGUGUGCGUGAGGUUAAUUCAAUUUCGAAUGUCUUAUUUACAGAUAAAGAAUACAGAUUCAUUAAAUGCAAAACCUUCAAAUACAUGCUUGACAUAUUCGAAUGCAUUUUACUUAAUCAUCUACCGCCAAUAAGACCACUUCCAUGCUCUCAAAUAUAUAAAGUUGUGCACAUUCCUUCGAAAUAAGCUAAGUCACAUGAUAUAAUAGUUGUUAUUUACUUAUAGACGAGUGAUCAAUUUUACUCCAGCAUUAACAUGCACUAACGUGAUGUACUUUAUUAUUAUAUUGGUACACAAAUAAGCAUGCACGCAUAUACACAUGACUCAAACUAGGGAAGUCUAUUUUUUCCAAGUUUCAAGUAUUAGUACAGAUAGUUUCACAGCCAUACACAAUACACAGUUUUAAAUUCUGAUUUGUUAUUAAGUAGUAUAGUUAUGUAUUUGCUAGGUUUUUGUCCAUGUUUAGUAACAGAGGAAAGCGCUGAGUUUUUAAUCAUUCUUGUGUCACUAUACAGAUUAUCUACUAUACUGGCGAUAUUACUUUCAAUUCAUCUCCUUUUUUUUGUGAAUCAUUCAAUUCAUAUCCUUUCAGUGGAAAACAAUCCUUCCCUACUGGAUUAUGUGUGUUCCAUUCCACUUUACAGAUCAGAUGUUAAUGGGCCUUUUAUUUUUCAAAAAGGGGUAAAUGGCUAAGUUCUGAUAAUUUCCUAGGAGUAACGAGACAUGCAAAUGACGCAGAUUGUGUACUGCAAGGUUUGCUUCUUUUUUUGGUUAUACGUCUGCAGCAGUUAGAUAUUAGUUCUUGUGCACAUGAUGUUUGUCGAUUUAAGGAAUUCUACUUUAGAUUUAAAUCUAUAGCCCUGAAUCCUAUUCAAAUAGGACAUUAUGUGAGGAUCUGACAAUUAAAGGACAUGAAGUUUGGGUAUACAUUCAAAUCUUGAUUUCUCGUGCGCGCGUGUGUGUGGGUGGGGGUCUUGUUACUAUAUGUCCUAUGAACAAGGCCUUUGUCGGUUCCAACCAGCUAAUAUAUCUUGGACACUAUGUAUGACCUCACUGUCCUCGGCUUUCUACAAUACUUCUCACGAUAGUCACCAGUCGCUCAGUGAGGAAUGAGGACCUUGAAAGAUGACAUGUGUUUAUGCUUUCAGCAUCCAAGGAGGCUGCUAAUGAACUGCCAAACUGAUGUUGAUGCAGUAAAAUCAUGAGCAAAGUCUCCACAUGUGGUGGCCAAGGAAAUACGAGCUUCCAUAACAAUCAGCUAGGGACAAUUACAUAGGACAAAUCAAGAUUGCACAAGGUGACGUAUGUGUUUAUGCUCUCACCAUCCAAGGAAACUGUUCAUUACUUAUCACGCAUUGUCUAUAGAGUUACCUUCUUACCUUCGAGUAUGGUUAAGGUGCAGCUAAGCCUUCUAGCCAAUGCAUGAUAAUCUCAAGAUUAUGCUAGUAACCUAACAGUUGCGGUAGACAUAUGUACACUGAUACAUUUUUUAUCAUAUUAUCCUCUAGAAUAAGGAGUCCUCCGAUUGAAAGCA